rnacentral:misc_RNA from 1 species
GCCACAUCACAAGUGCAAUCACCCCACACAUUAUUUGCCUUCUUUUCUGCUCAUGAUAAUAUCCAAGUUACAAGCCAAGUAAAGCAGAAACUGAAGGCCAACAGUACUCAAAAUGCUACAUGAAGUCAUGAACCUCAGCUAUUAGUUGAAGACAAAAUCCAGAGCGACCUGAAUGCCAUCAAUGUUCAGUUGCUGCAUCAGUCAAGGUAUCAACAGCUACAGAUCCUUGUGCUUCUUCCAAAAGCUUCAUUUGCCGUUCUGCAUGCUCCCUUUCACAAGCACUGAUACCCAUAAUUAUGUCUAGCAUCGUACCAGUUGUGCCAAAGAAUACAAGGGGUGCCAAAGAUUUCCGUUUAAUACCCACUGGAAUCGCAAGCAGGGCACCAGCUACAGAGAAAACCCAUGUCCCCAGAGCAUUGGAGACUGAGCACUCUGCCAGUUGUUUAACUUCCUCUUGAGCAGCCAUUUUUUCUCUGCUACCAUAAAAAUUGAACCUCUACAGUGACGAUCUCCUCUUUGAA